rnacentral:lncRNA from 1 species
AUGCACAGACACACGCGUGUGCUCAGAAUGAACACAUGUGGAAGAGAGGUGUGUUCAGGGCAGGCGAUGCGCAAAGGGCCACGCGCCCGUCGCAGGGACAAAAGCCAGCGUGUGUGCCGAGGCCGCCAGCAGGAGGGAGCCGGCCCUGCGGCCAUGCGCCCCGGAUGCCCACCGCGCGGGCGUCAGGACGGACCCUGCCCCCUGGGCCUGGGGAGCCCUCCCACACGGAGGCGAGCUGGAGGAGGGAGGGGCAGCAGGCACUGGAGGCCAUAUCGUCAUUCCAGGGACAGGCAGCGUGGGGCUCCAGCGCUCGGCCUCCCAAGCCCAGGCACCCAGCGCCGGCGAGCACAUGCUCCCGGUCCCAGGGAGACGGUCUCCUCCCCACGGGGGAUGGGACGGGCGGUGGCCACCUGCAGCUGGACCAGAUGUGAAGAGGAGCUCUGUGGGGGGCUCGCUGCCUCUGGAGUGAGGGUGACGGCCCAGGGCCAGGGUCCCUGAGGCCCACGCACCUGCGCUGGCCCUGCGCUGGCCCUGGGGCCUGCCGGAGCAGGUGGCAGUGAGCAGUGGGCACAAGAUGCAGAGGUGUGGGCGAGCAGACAGCACGGGGCGGGGGGCCCAGCUGGGUCAGUACCUGUCACUCUGAGGACACGGCCACCACAGCCUUCAGGCACUGUUCAGGGGCUUAAACUGCCAGCCCGUGUGGCCGCCAGAGUCCAGGGCGGCCAGAUAGCGCUAGGAGGGUGCGGGGCGGGAGGAGUGCAGGAAAGAGAGAGAGAGAGGGCAGCCUCAACGCCAGGCGAGGACCGGCCCGAGUCGGGCCGCGGGUUUAGCCUAGAGCGCCGCUGGGGGAUCCGCCAGGAGCACACGCAGCCUGGGGCCAGGGCGGGCCCGCUGCAUCGGCGGGCGUGUGUGUCUGAAGCCAGAUGGCCCUUAGCUUCUCCGGCCUGCUCCUGGAGGCCCGCCACCUCCAGGAAGCCCUUCAGGACCCGUGGCCUCUGUAAGCUGCUUUCUUUGGCACCAAACCAUCCUAUCCCCCUUUUCAUGUCUCAUUCCCGAGACCAGAAGUGAAGCUAGCAGAGCCCAAGGCCAGGCCCAUCUGGAAGAGCCUGGGGGAGACCUGGGUCGAGUUCAGGAAGCUGAGGGAGAAGCUGCAGGGCUCAGGUGGGCGGAGGUGCCCCGGCCUCCUGGAAGAGCUCACGCGCACAGGCCAGUGGCCCGCCCGAGGGCCCCGGCUGGGGCUCCCCCUGCAGCCCCGCACCGAAGGCUCAGGGCAGCCUGUGGGGCCUGUGCCGCCCGGGAAGCCACCGCGGGCAUGAAGCGGCGGGGCGGAGCCCCCACCCUGGCCUCAGACCCCCCGCUCCAGCCUCUGGCCCGAGACUUACUGAAGGCGGCGGGGACUCGCGCCCAAUGAGGGGGGGGUUCUCACAGCGAGGGUUCUGGAAAUUGGCAUUCUGGCUCCUGAGGUGAGAGGAGAGGGCCCUGGGUCAGUGGGCCCACCUGGGAACCAGGCAGACCCCAUCCCACAGACAGCCCGCUAGCGAGUGCCUGGGGUCCCAGGAGCCCAGCAGAGAGGGGCUGCGAGCAGGCCCAUGGCUAACGCUGCCGCCCCAGCCCACCACGUGGCCAGGCCUGGGGCCCUUGGCUACAGGAUCCCAUGUGCUGACCAGACUCUGUCUGACAGUGGUCCCCUGUGGCCUCCACCCAGGGGUGUGGCAGCAGCAAGCACUCAGAGCCCGGGAGCUGCCCCGCGUGCAGGGCCCCCUCCACCCCCGCUCCGCGCCUCGCUCAGGCACCCCAGGACAGUGGCUGCACCCUGAGCAGCCUACCCAGCGCCCGGCGCCCUGCGCGCGCCCAACUCACAUGUACUCGGUGACUGGGGCGUUGCUGACGGUGUGGGCCGCAGCCGGGAUGCUGGCCUCGCUGCCGUAGCUGCUGCCACAGCUGUACAGACUGGGCAUGUGGACACGGUAGAGGCUGUCGUGCGCCUGCCGAGGCCCUGGGGCGGCCUCCUCCUCCCCAUCCUCGUCGGGGCCUCUGCGGGAGGGACACCGGCGCGGGGUCAGGCCUGAUGCUGGCACGGGGCCGCAGGCCAGAGGCCAGCUCUGGGGCAGACAUGCCUGCUUGCAGUCCUGGGUCUGCAGGGCUGUAGGUAAGGCUCCCGGGGACACAGGGAGGGGACCCCGCUCAGGUGGGGACCCCGCCCCUGCCGGCUGCUCGCUCGCCUGUCUCCCAGGCUGGGGGCCCCUCUAGGCCGGUCGUGAAGCAGGAGCGCCCACCUCAGACCCACCGGCCUCGUGGUGGCUGCAGAGCCCCGGGAGCUCCAAGGNNNNNNNNNNNNNNNNNNNNNNNNNNNNNNNNNNNNNNNNNNNNNNNNNNNNNNNNNNNNNNNNNNNNNNNNNNNNNNNNNNNNNNNNNNNNNNNNNNNNCCCCCCGGGGGCGCCCGGGGGGGGGGCCCCCAGGCGCCGCGCGGCCCCCAGGCGGGCCCCAGGAUCCCUCACCUCUUUUGCUGCCAGGUGUGCGGGACACUGCAUACGAUGGAGCUGAACAUGAGGGCCGUGACGAAGGAGAAGAGGGCCAGGUAGAUGAGGCCCUCGACGCCGUCGUAGCAGAAGCCCGUGAGGGCCUGCACAUAGUCCUGGGGCCGGGCAUGGAAGAGAGAACGGGAGACGCACAGGGUGAGAUGGAGCGCGCGGGCCUGAACCAUGCCAGACCCAAGGCAGGCAGAGGCCCCGUUCGUAUAACUUCGUAUAAUGUAUG